rnacentral:tRNA from 1 species
GCUUUGGUGAUUCAGUGGCAGAAUGCUCGUCUGCCACGCAAGCGACCCGGGAUCGAUUCCCGGCCAAUGCA